CCGUCUCAUUAUGCUGAGUCGGCGGGAAAGAUCGCCUGACAUUUGGCAGAAAAGAAAAUAUUUCAGCCGUAGAUUAGCUUCCACCGCCUUAUUUUGAUGGUCCGAUUCUUUCACUCGUAUGAAAUCCCACCUAAAAAUGGCUAUUAAUGAGAAUUCAGUUUAUGCAGUAAUUUGUGCGGAUGUAUGGAUGUAUCUGCAUCUUCUUCGACAGGGCUUCCUCGGAGGAUAAAUGGUUCAGAUGCUAACGAAGGCUUUAUGGUGGAAAUUGAAGUUUUCGUUCAAUUAUCAAUAUUUUUUAGAUUUUUACUAUUUAGACUUUGGGUUUUUUUUUCACUUUUCUUCUUCUUUGUGGUUUCCUUUAGGUUUUGGUCUGUUCAACAGAAAUAUAGUCUAGCCUUAAUUCUCUCUCGGGCCCUGAGAGUAAUGAUUUUUCGCUGAGGUCAGGCAGAUCGCGUGAUUCUACACUUGAUAGUUUUUCAAUCGGUUGGUAUGGUGAAAUUUUCAAUCGGUUGGUAUGGUGAAAUUUUCAAUCAAUUGCUAUUGACGAAAGUAAAAAGAUCAUACUUGAGAGAGGGGAGGACAUCUAGCUAGAUCGCUUCCUCUUAUUUUCGUGAUAUAAUCGUGCUGGUGCAUACCGUUUUCUUCAUUUGCAGGCUGUCUGAGUGAAAAGCUGGGACACGGAGAAAUCUUAUGAAAGUAUACUGCGAGCUAAAUUGUUUUCUUGGCCUGUAUUUAUAUGCAAAUGUCGCUUGUGCAGUUUGGUAUUGUGUAUUUUUAGAUUUUCUUUUCUCUGAAUUUUUCUGUAAAAAGGGUUUUUGUCUUUAGGAGAUCUUCCCUAACUUAGGGUUUGUGGGCUUUAUGCUAUGGAGGGGUGAGACCAGCUGCAGGAGAAGUGGUGCUUGAUUUAUCUUUAUCUUCACGAGGCGAUGAAAGACAGUUAAAACCCCGUCGAGAGAGGCCAGCCAGAAGAGUUGAGGUGAUGUUCAUCCGAAGGAGAAGACAACCAGAAUUAACAGGUUUUAAAUGCCUCGAAUCUGAGUACCACACACCUCUCGAUUUUUCUUUUUCACUACUAUGUGUUGGCCGAUUUGCAGAAAUCAUUUAUUGGAGGGUAUAAUGGUUGAUUGAAUGGAACUAAAAUUAGUUAAAUAGUUAUGUUUUACGGUGUUUAGGGGUUUCACUACAAUCAUUGGUGUGGUGCAAGAUUGGUUUUUUUCCCCUUACCUUAUCAUAAGGGUUUUAUUUCAUAGGGUUUUGAGCGAAAACAGUGAUGGCUGUGGAUUUCAUCACUCUCGGUAAUCUGUAAGUAACUUUUUAUUGGUACAAGUUCUUUAAUAUUUUAAUUAGCUCCUGCAAUUAGGUUGAGAAACGGUACAUGAUGUGAGGUAACCUAAUUGGUUUGUGUUUCUGUAUGGUGGAGGUUUGUGUACAUCUGAAUGGUCGAUGCCUACAUCUGUAGAGACCCGGGGAUCUUUGAAACCCUAACCGAUUGUAUCACAUUCAUUUUUAUAUUAUUUGCAAUUGCCUUCAAUCUAGGACGUUUUCGGCAGGUUUUUUUGAACAGUGGGAAUCAGAGGCUGCGCAGCUGAGGUGUGAUCUUCUCUAGUUAGUUUAGAUCACUGAUUUAUCACCAAGUAAAUUAAAGUUUCAGUUUACCUUGAGGUCUGAGGUCUUAACGUUUUGGAUAAUUGAGCACUGAGGUAACUUUGUGGAUAACUGUAAGUGUCUCAAGUUUCGUUUCUUUAGGUAAGAGAAUGCUCCAGGAUGGGCAUGGAUUUGGAGUCGGCUGUGGAAACAACUGUCAUUCGACAGUAGGGUGUCAAUUUCUAUUUUCUUUAUUUGAAUUGAUCUUAGUUUUCUGAGUACAAUUAUUCAAAGAGCAUUUAACGCAUAUGAUGUCGACAUAAGUUAUUAUUGCAGUGAAGUCACUGGAAUAGGCUGCAGUGUUUCGUAGCUCUCACAGCCUAACACACGGUUUGGAUUAAAGUGGUGCAAUACGCUUAAUUCUCUUGUACUUUUGGUAGUCGUUUGUUGUAAACUCUCUGUCCUUGAGGUAAUUAGUUUUUUGAGAUGAUUUUAGGCAAACUGUUCUAUUGGUGGGUGGUUACAACAUUCUAUUGGUUCAGCUGCAGUUUUUAUAAUUCUGAGCUUUUCACUGAAAGGUGGGAAAUGAGAACAAGCUGUUGAUUGUUGCAAGUAGCGAGGCUUAUGUAAUCUGUACCCCAUAUAGCGCAGUCUUAAUGGGCUCUUGUAAGUAGUCAUUUGUUCCUUGAUAUCGGAUAUUGCAAAAUUGCGAGUUUUAGGCUUUUAAACUUUUUAAAAGUCACUGGCCAAAUGUGUAUUUCUUCAUCUUCUGGUUUUUAUUCUUCUGAUGAAGAUUCAUCCUUGAUAUCAUGGUUGCUUAGCAACUGCACUUCAUACGAAACCGAAGGGAAUAUUGAGGUAAUGAUUAAUAUACUUUCUCACUUCUCUCAAAGCGGAAGAAAAUCUUAGCUUGAACGGAAGGUCAAGGAAUUGAUCUGUUUUCUUUCUCAAUUGCAGGGCGGUUUUGUAUCAUAUAGAUAGGUCGGCUGGUGGGUUUGUAAUUUUGGUCUCUUGCAUUGAACGAUGUCAACUCUUAACUUGAGAAUCCAUUUUUUUCUUUCUGGGUUAAUAGGUAUAUUUCAUGUAAGAGGGAGCUUUCCACAGUGAACAUGGAUUUGGUGUUUCCAGCUAUAAAACAAUGCAACUUAUAAUUUUUGAAGGAGGAUAAGAGCUUCUUUUGACUCCUUGAUUUGAAUUCAACUUAUUUGAUCCUACUCUUCUUAGAGUUGUCUUUGUUUAUGAAAACCAAUGCACUCUGUCUAUACAGAUGGUCAGAAGGUGGUGAAUAGGCGUUGUGCGACUCCGACCUAUGCUAUUACUGUUAAGUGACUGUUGUAAGUGCAAGAAAUUUUUAUCCACCUGCAAGAAGUAAUAAUUUGGUAAUUUAUCUUCUUUUUGAACUAUACAAAGUAGAUUUGUACAUAAGAUGUUAUGCACACUGUUUUGUGGUUUUUGUUGGAGUACUCGAUUGGUCGAGGAGGAAUCCAUUCUUAUUUUUCUGGGUUAACAGGUAUAUUACAGGGGGUAGAGAGCGCUCCACAUUCUACAUAGAUUUGGUGUUUAUAGCUAUAAAACCACGCAACUUCUAAUUUUGGCAGACGAUAAGGAUUUCUCAACUCUUAUGAUUAGUUAAAUGAACUGAUUUGAACUUAUUUUUUUGUUAGAAAAGUCUCCGUCUUUGCAAUGCAAUGUACUCUGUCUCUACACAGAUGGUGAGGUAGCCAACUAAACAUGGCGUUGAAUAGGCGAUUAUGACUCCGACAUUUUGUUACAGUGAAGUAACAGGAAAGUAGUAUGAUUUUAUCCGUUGCUAGAAGUAAUGAUGUGGUGCAACGUCUCGCUCAACGCCUAUGAACCUAUUUGUUGAAUAUUAUACAAAUUGUUUUGUGGUUUUGUUGUUGUAGUCGAUUGGACCAGGUUUCUAAAGGAAGGUCGAGGUACUUGAUAAAGGAGGAAUUCAUUUUUUUAAUUUCUGGUAUAAUAGGUAUAUUACAUGUAAGAGAGCGCUCUACAUGGCGGACAUGGAUUUGGUGUUUCAGGCAGUAAAACAAUUCAGCUCUCAAUUUUGGCAGGAGGAUAAGAAAUUCUUGAACUUCUUGAUUUGAAUUCAAUGCUGUUCCAAUGAUUAGUUAAAAGAACUUAUUUGAUCUUAGUUUUGUUAAACUUGUAAUUUUUUUUAUGCUAAGCAAUGUACUCUGUCUAUACAGAUGGUGAGUAGGCGUUGUGCGACUCCGACCUAUGACACUGUAGUACAAUUUUUAUUCCCUUGCUAGAAGUAAUAAUGGGGUGUAAUGUUCUCUUACAAUGCCUAUUUUUUCCCCCCGUACUUACUAUAGUUGUCGUCUACAGUGAUUUGUUCGAGUACUCGUUUGGUCCAGAUGUUUUAAGGAAGGUUUGGGCACUUGAUAGAGGAGACAGGGGAGUGAGAGCCUUCCACAGUGGACAUGAAUUUGGUGUUUACGGCUAUAAAACAGUGCAACUUCUAGUUUUGACUGAUUUAAUCUUAGUCUUUUGUUAGAUUUUUGUCUUUGUUUAUGCAAAACAAUGUAAACUACGCAGAUGGUGAGCAGCCAACUAAAUAUGGCGUUGAAUAGGUGUUUAUAUCAGUACGAUUUAUGUUGGUACACUGAAGUAACGGGAACAAGUGGUACAAUUUUUAUCCCGUGCUAGAAGCAGGUUUGUAGAGCGCUGCCCAGUUGACAUGUAUUCGUGUUUCUAGCAGUAAAACAUUACGACUUCUAAUUUUGGCAGGUGGAUAAGAAUUUCUUUGGCUACCUGAUUUGAAUUCAAUGCCGUUUCUAUGAUAAUUAAAAGAAUUUAAUUGACCUUAGUCUUGUUAGAGUCGUGUUUUUGUUUAGCAAUUUACUUUGUCUAUGCAGAUAGCGAGUAGGCGCUGAAUAGGCGUUGUGCGACUCCUAGCUAUGUUAUGAUAGUUAAGUAACAGUGGUACAAUUAUUAUUCCCUUGGUAGAAGUAAUAAUGGGAUCUAAUGUCUCGACGUAGAUUUAUACAUAAGAUGAGUUUAUUUUUUAGGUAUCAUGUAAACUGUUUUGAGUUUUUGUUGGAAUACUCGAUUGGUCCAGGUUUUUAAAGGUUGAGGUAACGAUCAAUCUGUUGUCUCGUUCGACUCCGAUCUUAUUCGUGCCACAGGAUUAAUUGGUACAAUAUUUAUUCUCUCGCUAGAAGUGAUAAUGGGGUAUAAUGUUCUCUUACAAUGCCUAUUUUUCCCUUGCACUUACCCGUAGUUGUCAACAGUGAACUCUACACAAGUAGAUUUGUUCAUUAGAUGUUAUGCAAAUUGAUUUGUGGUUUUGUUGGAGUACUCGAUUGGUCCAGGUUUCAGGUUUCUGAAGGAAACUUGAGGCGCUUGAUGAUGGAGGAAUCCAUUCUUAUAUUUCUGGAUUAAUAGGUUUAUUAUAGGGGAGAGAGCGCUCCACAGUGGACAUGGAUUUGGUGUUAACUGCCAUGAAACAAUGCAACUACUAAUUUUUUGGCGGAGGAUAAGAAAUUUUAAUUCCCUGAUUCGAAUUCAACGUUGUCGCUGUGAUUAGUUAAAAGGACUGAUUUGAUCUUAGUUUUGAGAUAGAAUGUUGUCUUUGUUUAUGCAAAACAAUGUUAUCUGUGUGAGCAGAUGGCGAGCAGGCAACUAAACAUGGCGUUGAUUAGGAGUUGUAUGACAACGAUCUUUGUAAUUACAGUGAAGUAACGGGGAAUAAGUGGUACAAUUUUUAUCCCUUGCUAGAAGUAGAUUUGUACGUAAGAUGAACUUAUUUGUUGAAUAUUAUACAAAUUAUUUUGUGGUUUUGUUGGAGUACUCGAUUGGUCCAGGUUUCUAAAGGAAGUUCGAUGUACUUAAAGGAGCCGUACAUUUUUUCAAUUUCUGGGAUAAUAGGUAUAUUCCAUGAGAGAGAACGCUCCAUAGUUGACAUGUAUUGGCGUUUCCAUGAGAGAGAACGCUCCACAGUGGACAUUCAUUGGUCUUUUCAGCAGUAAAACAAUUUUAACUCCUAAUUUUGGCAAGAGGAUAAAAACUUAUUUUUAACUCCCUUAUUUGAAUUUAUAAUGCCGUUUUCAUGAUAGUUAAAAGAACUUAUUUUAGUUUUGUUAGAGUUGUGUUUUUGUUUAUGCAAAGCAAUGUACUUUGUCUAUGCAGGUGGUCAGUAGGCGACUCGGAAGCUAUGUUUUUAUAGUAACAGUAAUGAGUGGUACAAUUUUUAUUCUCUUGCUAGUAGUAGUAAUGGGUUGUAAUGUCUACUGUUUUCUUUUCCCCGUACUAAUAGUUGUGUUUAAGAUGUUAUGCAAACGGUCUUGUGGUUUUGUUGGAGCACUCGAUUGGUCAAGGUUUAGGCACUUGAUAGAGGAGGAAUCCAUUCUUGUCUUUACGGCUUAAUAGGUAUAUUACAGGGGAGAGAGAGCGCUCCACAGUGGACAUGGUUUGGGGUUCACAGCUAUAAAACAAUGCAACUACCAAUUUUGGCGGAGGAUAAGAAAUUCUCAUUUCCCUUAAAUGUUCUCUCUAUGAUUACUUAAAAGAACUGAUUUGAAUUCAACCCUGUCUUUGUUUAUGCAUUACAAUGUACUCUGUCUAAACAGAUGGUGACUAGUGAACUAAACAUGGCGUUGUAUGACUCCGAGUUAUAUGUUAUUACAGUGAAGUAACAGGAAUAAGUGGUGCAAUGUGCUCUCUUACAAAGCCUAUUUUCUUUUCUUUGUAUUUAUUGUAGUCGUCUACAGUUAGAUUUGUACACGAAGAAUUUAUUUGUUAGAAGUUAUAUAAACCGUUUUGAGAUUUUGGUGUGCUAUCGAUUGGUCCAGCUUUCUGAAGGAAGGUUGAGGUGUAAUGAUCAAUCUGACGAACCUUUUUUGAUCGCUCUUCUUUGGAAGCGAAUUUAGUGGGAUGUUGUAGAAGGAAGGUUGUAAGUUGCAAUUUAAUGAGUUUUUCUUUGAGGAAUUAUGUGCGAACUGAAAAGUUGAUUUGUUAUUAAUGUUUUAAAGUCUGUUUAGUCUAUUAGUCGCUACCGUCCACGGUUAUAACUUUUGCUAGAUUUUCAUUCCCAUCGAACAAAUGGGAGAACCAACAAAUAUUUCAUUCACAUUUAUUUAUCUGAGGAGAAGAUGAAGGAGACCUCCUAGACCUCCUCAUCCAGUUCUGAAAGGGAACGGCGUUCAUUUAUGGCAUUAGAGGAUUGUUGCGUUGGAAAUAACGACAUGGUGUCGAAUAGGUGGCACGAGAUUUGGCUAUGUUUGAUCAUUAUCAGCGUAUUCUAUGGGGCUCCAAAGGAUGUUGAAAUUUAGUUGUAUUGACUCCUUAGGCUGUCAACAUGGUGUUGAAUAGGUGGCACGAGACUUGGCUAUGCUUGAUCAUUAUCAGCGUACUUUAUAUGGGGUUCCAAAGGAUGUUGAAAUUUAGUUGCAUCGACUCCCUACUUGGGUUAUCAACAUGGUGCUGAUUAGGUGGCACGAGAUUUGGCUAUGCUUGAUCAUUAUCAGCGUACAUUAUGGGGUUCUUAAGGAUUUGUGAAAUUUGAAAAAUACUGUGUGGUUUCUCUGGUUUCUUGUGAGCAUCUUUGUCAACAGCAUUCAACUUAUAUAUUGACUCCUACAUAGGUUAUUGCAGUGAUGUAAAACUAUGUUUUUCCCCGUGAACUUACGGUAGUAGAAAGUGGUCUACAGUUAAUUUUACACAACAGGUUUGUUCAAGAGGUGAUAAGCUUAUUUGUGCGACAUCGUACAGUACAAACAGCUGUAGCUUUAUCAUUUCAGCAUCGUAUUCCCGAUUUUCGCCCUGUUAUGAUGUUUGAGAUAAUUAUUAUGCUUUAGCUUUUGCAAUAUCGUUGACCGAGAACUGUGCUCUCAUUAGAGAGUUGGUUCUUUAGCUUUGGUAGUUGAAUAAAUGAUGUAGUUCGGUGUAGUACAACAUAAAUUGGAGACUUGCCCUGGGGAGUGCGACGGAGCUGGAAAAAGAAUUAAUGGGCUUCUUUAGUUGAUUGACAGAUCCAUCACCAAUUAAAUUAAAGGUAAGCUUGUCAUCAAGGUCUGAACUUUGUUCAACAAAUUAUUCUUAUACAGUCAGUAGAUAAAAUUUUUGCUAGAAGUUUCAUUUGCAUUGAACAUUCUUAUACAGUCUAGUAGAUAAAAUUAUUGCUAUUAUAAGUUCCAUUUGCAUUGAACAUUGUAUACAGUCUGGUAGAUAAAAUUAUUGCUAGAAGUCCCAUUUGCAUUGAACAGAUAACGGCAGUAUGUUGAACAGAUAACGGAAGUAGAACAUAUUUCAUUUCAUUUUGGUGGUGUGAAGUGUAAAUGAAUAAAUGGGGAUUUUGUUUUUCUAUUUUUAGGUCGGUCUGAAAAUUUGUUCAACAGAUUAUUCUGUACGGUCUAGUUGAUACAAGUAUGGCUAGAUUUUCUUCCCAUUGAACAGAUGGGUUGAAUGGCAAUAGAAAACAUUUCAUUCUGUGAAGUGUAACUUAACGGAGAAAUGAUCAUUCAUUAUCAGCCUUUUCUGGUGUGUUCUAAAGGAGUGGUGACAGUUUUCUCUACCGGUGUAUUCCCCUGACGGAAGGCAAGUUAGCACCAUAUCGGGGUUUUCUCUACCGGAGUAUCCCCCUGACGGAAGGGAAGUUAGCAACCAUAUCAGGAAAUUUUAUAUAGGUGGGAUGAUGAUACGCUUGAUUGUACCGGCGUAGUUCUGAUAGAGUUCAAUGGAUUUGUAACAAGAACUCUUGUUAAUCUCUGAAUCUUGUCUAUUUUGUGAGCAUAAUUAAUGCAAAGCUUAAAGUUAUUUUCCGACGUCAACCUAGCUUAUUAUUCUGACGUCAACCUAGCUUAUUGCAGCGAAAUAAAAAGGAUGAAGCGUAACAAUAUUUAUUCCCCAACUACGGUGAAAUUUCAAUAAAGGAUUGAAGUGGUCCAAGGUUUUGACAAUAUUUAUUCCUCAAACUACGGUGAAAUUUCAAUAAAGGAUUGAAGUGGUGCAAGGUUUCAUCCUUGACCUUGUACAUUUGGUAGUUAACUGUAGUGAACUCUAUUUUACAAAUUAUUAUAGUGGGUGACUGAAAUAUUCGAUUGAUCCAGCUGCAGUACGCCUCUGAUUCGAGCUCUCACAAGGUUUUGAGCUGGCAGCUGUGGGAGUCGCUGUUGUAGAUUGUAGGUGGCGGUGAAGCUUUUAUGAUCAAAUUUUCAUAUAGAGAAGUUCCUGUUAUCCAUAUUUUUAAAUGCAACAUAAUUAAAAUUUUGCAUGCCCCCUUUUAGUAGGGUUGUGAGUUGUAAGCUUGAGCAUUUGCGACUCUCUUGGUUUAUCAUAUAUUGAAUUUCUUAAAUAUUGGUUGAUUUUGGAA